AGAAGAGUGGUCAACUUGCUUAGGAGAGGGAGUUUCCUUACCAAGAGUUCCCCCCACUGAUAUCUCUAGACCAAAAGCGGCAAUAAGGACCACUCUGCUAGACCUUUCAGUACCAUCGUUCAGUCAUCAGUAUGUUUGUGUACAAUAACUCCUAUAGAAGUGCUUGCCAGUGUAACAUUAUUUCUAAAGAUCAAGAAGGAAGGGAAGCCAGAGGAAGUGCCUGUUCCUAGCACCGACUUCUCUGCAGCUAGUGGACAAAAAGCCCUUAUUCCCCCCUCCCCCCGCCCCAUCCCCACAGAUGUCCAAAAAUAAAUAAAUAAAUAAAGACAGG
rnacentral:lncRNA from 1 species